GUAGGGCGCGGCGUUAUCCGGAAUUAUUGGGCGUAAAGAGCUCGUAGGCGGUUUGUCGCGUCUGCUGUGAAAUCCGGAGGCUCAACCUCCGGCCUGCAGUGGGUACGGGCAGACUAGAGUGCGGUAGGGGAGAUUGGAAUUCCUGGUGUAGCGGUGGAAUGCGCAAAUAUCAGGAGGAACACCGAUGGCGAAGGCAGAUCUCUGGGCCGUAACUGACGCUGAGGAGCGAAAGGGUGGGGAGCAAACAGGCUUAGAUACCCUGGUAGUCCACCCCGUAAACGUUGGGAACUAGUUGUGGGGUCCAUUCCACGGAUUCCGUGACGCAGCUAACGCAUUAAGUUCCCCGCCUGGGGAGUACGGCCGCAAGGCUAAAACUCAAAGGAAUUGACGGGGACCCGCACAAGCGGCGGAGCAUGCGGAUUAAUUCGAUGCAACGCGAAAAACCUUACCAAGGCUUGACAUAUACAAGAACGGGCCAAAAAUGGUCAACUCUUUGGACACUCGUAAACAGGUGGUGCAUGGUUGUCGUCAGCUCGUGUCGUGAGAUGUUGGGUUAAGUCCCGCAACGAGCGCAACCCUCGUUCUAUGUUGCCAGCACGUAAUGGUGGGAACUCAUGGGAUACUGCCGGGGUCAACUCGGAGGAAGGUGGGGAUGACGUCAAAUCAUCAUGCCCCUUAUGUCUUGGGCUUCACGCAUGCUACAAUGGCCGGUACAAAGGGCUGCAAUACCGCGAGGUGGAGCGAAUCCCAAAAAGCCGGUCCCAGUUCGGAUUGAGGUCUGCAACUCGACCUCAUGAAGUCGGAGUCGCUAGUAAUCGCAGAUCAGCAACGCUGCGGUGAAUAC
rnacentral:rRNA from 1 species